UAGCAGAUAAUCUGCCAAGGCGCUUGAGAGAACUCGGGUUAAGGAACUCUGCAAAUUGAUACCGUAACUUCGGAAGAAGGUAUGCCUUCGACGGUGUAGGGAUUUACUCCCGAAGCUGUUGAAGGUCGCAGGUAAUCGGUGGCUGCGACUGUUUAUCAAAAACACAGGACUCUGCGAACACGCAAGUGGAAGUAUAGGGUCUGACGCCUGCCCGGUGCCGGAAGGUUAAUUGAUGGGGUUAGCCGCAAGGCGAAGCUCUUGAUCGAAGCCCCGGUAAACGGCGGCCGUAACGAUAACGGUCCUAAGGUAGCGAAAUUCCUUGUCGGGUAAGUUCCGACCUGCACGAAUGGCGUAACGCUGGCCACACUGUCUCGACCCGAGACUCAGUGAAGUUGAAAUCGCUGUGAAGAUGCGGCGUUCCCGCGGCAAGACGGAAAGACCCCGUGAACCUUCACUACAGCUUACACUGAACUUUGAACCUUUCUGUGUAGGAUAGGUGGGAGGCUAUGAAACUUGGGCGCUAGCUCGAGUGGAGCCAACCUUGAAAUACCACCCUGGGAUGUUUGAAGUUCUAACCUUGGUCCGUAAUCCGGAUUGGGGACAGUGUAUGGUGGGUAGUUUGACUGGGGCGGUCUCCUCCCAAAGAGUAACGGAGGAGUGCAAUGGUACGCUCAGCGCGGUCGGUCAUCGCGCUCUAGAGUGCAAAGGCAUAAGCGUGCUUAACUGUGAGACAGACACGUCGAACAGGUACGAAAGUAGGUCUUAGUGAUCCGGUGGUUCUGUAUGGAAGGGCCAUCGCUCAACGGAUAAAAGGUACUCCGGGGAUAACAGGCUUAUUCCUCCCAAGAGUCCACAUCGACGGAGGAGUUUGGCACCUCGAUGUCGGCUCAUCACAUCCUGGGGCUGUAGCAGGUCCCAAGGGUAUGGCUGUUCGCCAUUUAAAGUGGUACGCGAGCUGGGUUCAGAACGUCGUGAGACAGUUCGGUCCCUAUCUGCCGUGGGCGUUGGAAACUUGAGGGUGAGCUGUCCUUAGUACGAGAGGACCGGGAUGGACGUAUCUCUGGUGUUCCGGUUGUCACGCCAGUGGCACUGCCGGGUAGCUAUAUACGGACGGGAUAAGCGCUGAAAGCAUCUAAGCGCGAAGCCCCCCCCAAGAUUAGGUUUCCCUGGGAACUCGAUUCCCCUAAAGGGCCGUCGGAGACUACGACGUUGAUAGGCUGGGUGUGUAAGUGCAGCAAUGCAUUGAGCCAUCAGUACUAAUUGCCCGUGAGGCUUGACCC
rnacentral:rRNA from 1 species